rnacentral:rRNA from 1 species
GACGAACGCUGGCGGCGUGCCUAAUACAUGCAAGUCGAACGCACUCUCGUUUAGAUUGAAGGAGCUUGCUCCUGAUUGAUAAACAUUUGAGUGAGUGGCGGACGGGUGAGUAACACGUGGGUAACCUGCCCUAAAGUGGGGGAUAACAUUUGGAAACAGAUGCUAAUACCGCAUAAAACCUAACACCGCAUGGUGUAGGGUUGAAAGAUGGUUUCGGCUAUCACUUUAGGAUGGACCCGCGGUGCAUUAGUUAGUUGGUGAGGUAAAGGCUCACCAAGACCGUGAUGCAUAGCCGACCUGAGAGGGUAAUCGGCCACACUGGGACUGAGACACGGCCCAGACUCCUACGGGAGGCAGCAGUAGGGAAUCUUCCACAAUGGACGAAAGUCUGAUGGAGCAACGCCGCGUGAGUGAAGAAGGUUUUCGGAUCGUAAAACUCUGUUGUUGGUAGAAGAAUGUAUCUGAUAGUAACUGAUCAGGUAGUGACGGUAUCC